CCCGUGAGGCAGACAUUACGGGUGAACAAAUGGAGGAGGGAAUUCCGGGGGGAAAGGAUAAAAAAAUAAAAAGCGGGUUUUAUUUCGGUUGCG
rnacentral:rRNA from 1 species